rnacentral:lncRNA from 1 species
AGUUUCCUGUCGCGUGGAUGUGUUUCCUCUCUGGCCAUUGCCAUCCGCCCAAAUCUACAGACAUCCCGCAUGUUCCCGGGCUCGUCUCCCCAAUACAGGGCACCAAGGCUGUAGACUGCGCAGCCCUCCUGGAGACAGAUGGAAGCUCCUUGGGUCGACAGAUUACAGCUUCUGGAACCCCCUACUCCCUUCAACUCCGAGAUGGACACCCACUGUCCAGGGAGAGGAUGCCUGGAAAUAACAGCUGGGAUCUACAGUGGCCAAAGAGUUGUCUCCGUCUUGCUACAUCGACAAACUGGUGCUCCUGAGUGAGGAUUGUGCCCUGGGAUGGGGGAUUCAGUUUCUUCAUUUAUAGUUGGAAGUGGGUGAAGUGCCAGGAGCGACGGUACACUCCAGAGUGCUGUGCCCUGAUGGGCCUUUGAGUGGCCAGUGCAGUGGAUCAUCAGCCCUGUCUCCCAAGAGCUCCAGUCCCUUCUCCGGAGAGGAAGUGGGUCCACUGGCAGCUCAGGAGGCCAUAGCAGAUUGUGGGGCUCUGUGCAGUUGAUGUUAGUUAACCACUGGAUCCACGUGUUCACCGUGGCUUGCGCCCCUGCAUCCGAAAGUGAUCUUGGCUGCCGUGUCCUGGUCAUUGCCUUACGGAAGUGUGGGUGGCGCUUUCUGGAAGCUGCACAAGUCAGUGCUGGGUCUUCGCAACUUGGUGUUCUGUUUCCAGAAACUUGGGGUGUUUGCAUGUGCUAGGUCAGCACAGAUUUCCAAAGGAUCUCUAGGAUUGUCACGUGUGCUCAACAGUCCUCCUCGGCUUUCCAGAAGAGGCUGGAACAGGGCCCUUGAAGAUGUUUGUGGACAUCAGAGGGCCAAAGACGACACAAAGUGAAACUGGAGACACCGCCCCCCCUUGGCAUCAUGAAACUGCCGAUGUUACUGGCUCAUGCAUGGGAGACACCAGCAUACAAAGUCUUGACACCAACACCUCAGAGGGCUGUGUUCUGUCCCCGUGACCAUCAUCUAGUGCCUGGAAAGACUAGUGACAAGAACUUGUUGCCAACUUCCUAUUACCUCCCUAACAGUUGUGCAAUAAACCCCAUAGGUUAAUUCAGUCUGCCUUUUAAA